ACGGGAAGAGAGGCAAUCGCCGUCGCUAUCAAAGCGAGGGAGGAAAGUCUGGACUUCGCAGGAUCGGAUACCAGUGAAAGACUGGGGGCCGAAAGGCUACGGAAAGUGUCACAGAAAAUAUUCCGCGGCGUAAGCCGACAGGGUGAAAUGCUUUGUUUGAUGAACAAAGCCCCACUAGAGGAGACUCUAGGGGUGAUAAACCCUAUCCGAAGCAAGACAAAGGUAAAGCGCUUAAGGUGUUCCGCCAAGCUUUCAACAAGUCGCUUGAGAACUUUGGUGACAGGGUUCCUAGAUGAAUGAUUGUCCAAUGACAGAAUCCGGCUUAUCCUCUUCCCUUUUUU
rnacentral:RNase_P_RNA from 2 species